rnacentral:tRNA from 1 species
GCCCCUGUCGUCUAGAGGCCCAGGACAUCUCCCUUUCACGGAGGAAACGGGGAUUCAAAUUCCCCCAGGGGUU